rnacentral:rRNA from 1 species
GCAGUCGAGCGAGAUCUUCGGAUCAACCGGCGGACGGGUUACAAACGCGUGGGAACGUACCCAAAGGUAGGGAAUAGCCACUGGAAACGGUGUGUAAUACCCUAUGUGCCCUUCGGGGGAAAGAUUUAUCGCCUUUGGAUCGGCCCGCGUUACAUAAGAAAGUUGGUGGGGAAACGGCCUACCAAGUCUACGAUCUAUAGCUGGUUUAAGAGGAUGAUCAGCAACACUGGGACUGAGACACGGCCCAGACUCCUACGGGAGGCAGCAGUGGGGAAUCUUGGACAAUGGGGGCAACCCAGAUCCAGCCAUGCCGCGUCAGUGAUGAAGGCCCUAGGGUCGUUAAGCUCUUUCGCCUGUGAAGAUAAUGACUGUAGCAGGUUUAGAAACCCCGGCUUACUCCGUGCCAGCAGCCGCGGUAAUACGGAGGGGGUUAGCGUUGUUCGGAAUUACUGGGCGAAAAGCGCGCGUAGGCGGAUUGGAAAGUUGGGGGUGAAAUCCCAGGGCUCAACCCUGGAACUGCCUCCAAAACUAUCAGUCUUGAGUUCGAGAGAGGUGAGUGGAAUUCCGAGUGUAGAGGUGAAAUUCGUAGAUAUUCGGAGGAACACCAGUGGCGAAGGCGGCUCACUGGCUCGAUACAGACGCUCAGGUGCGAAAGUGUGGGGAGCAAACAGGAUUAGAUACCCUGGUAGUCCACACCGUAAACGAUGUAUGCCAGUCGUCGGGUUGCAUGCUAUUCGGUGCCACACCAAACGGAUUAAGCAUUCCGCCUGGGGAGUACGGUCGCAAGAUUUAAACUCAAAGGAAUUGACGGGGGCCCGCACAAGCGGUGGAGCAUGUGGUUUAAUUUCGAAGCAACGCGCAGAACCUUACCAACCCUUGACAUCCUCGGACCGCCAGAGAGAUUUGGCUUUCACUUCGGUGACCGAGAGACAGGUGCUGCAUGGCUGUCGUCAGCUCGUGUCGUGUGAUGUUCGUUACUCCGGCAACGAGCGCAACCCACAUCCUAAGUGCCAGCAGUCGG